CGAUAGCUGGUUUCUCGAGAAAAGGAUUUUAGUCCAACCUAAAGUUAACCCGACCUCAACUAAAUGGCCUCCCCUUUAGAGUAAUUCAAGUGAGGUACAGCCCACUUGACUCAGGAUACAACCUUCACUAACGGGUAACGUUUAACUAACAUCUUUAAGUAGGCCUAACAGCAGCCACCUUUCAAAAAGCGUCAAAGCUUAACCCUUUUAUCUUAAUUUAAAAACUUACACCAACCCCUCUAACUGUAUCGAGAGCUUCUAUAAUUUUAUAGAACCCUUUAUGCUAAAACUAAUAACAAGAGAUAAACCCCCUCUCCUAAUGCAAGCAUAAGCCAUCAAGAACCCAUCACUGGCAACUAACAUAACCCUAAUAGGUAGAAACUUCCACUAGAGAACCCUACCCACUUCCCCGUUAACCUAACACCAGAGCAUUUCAAGAAAGAUUAAAAGGGAGAAAAGGAACUCGGCAAACUUUAACCCCGCCUGUUUACCAAAAACAUCGCCUCUCGACCCUAUGAGAGGUCUAGCCUGCCCAGUGACUCUGUUCAACGGCCGCGGUAUUCUAACCGUGCAAAGGUAGCGUAAUCACUUGUCUUCUAAAUAAGGACCAGUAUGAAAGGCACCACGAGGAUUAAGCUGUCUCCUCUCCCUAAUCAGUGAACCUAAUCUCCCCGUGAAGAAGCGGGGAUCCGUAUAUAAGACGAGAAGACCCUAUGGAGCUUAAAACAUCACACACUUGCCACCACCAUUAGCCACUCAGGUAUUUCCCCUAAUGGCAUCCUGAUUGCAUGUUUUUGGUUGGGGUGACCGCGGAGAAAAACUCAUCCUCCAUAGUGAAGGGGGGCCUCCCCAAAACAGUAAGUCACAACUUUAUGUAUCAAUAAUUUGACACCAUUGACCCAAUAAAUUGAUUAAUGAACCAAGUUACCCUAGGGAUAACAGCACAAUCCGCUUUAAGAGACCCUAUCGACAAGCGGGCUUAUGACCUCGAUGUUGGAUCGAGAUGCCCCAGUGGUGCAGCCGCUACUAAAGGUUCGUUUGUUCAACGAUUAAAAUCCCACGUGAUCUGAGUUCAGACCGGAGUAAUCCAGGUCAGUUUCUAUCUAUAAUAGCGCUAAUUUCAGUACGAAAGGACCAAAACAGCAUGGCCUAUACCUCUGCAAGCCAUAGUUAAUCAUUUCAGGCCCCUGCUCAAAAAAUAAUUGACCA
rnacentral:rRNA from 1 species